ensembl:lncRNA
GUGCUUCUGGUGCUGCAGGACGACAAGGGCCACCUGGUGAGAAAGGAGCUAAAGGAUCCGCAGGUGAUUCAUCUGUAGGAACACACACAAACCUGAGAUUUUUGGCUUUUUGCCAUUUUAUUAUUAGAAGAGGGAGAGAACAGACAUGUGAUAGGCAGAAAAGUGUGGCGGGGAAUCAGCAAAUGACUAAUUGCCAGGGUCCAAUUCAGGUUGCCUGUAUACUGUAUAUCAGCACUAUAUGCAUACAGUUCAACAUCAGACAGAGCUAUAUUUUUAACCGUGAUGUGUUGGCCAUCAACACCAAAAAAAAUGUAGUUUCAAAUAAAUGCUGUUCAUUCUGUUCAUCACGGUUUGCACAAAAAUAUUAAGCAGCAUGACUGUUUUCAACAUUGCUAAUAAUAAGAAAUGUUUCUUUAAUGCCAAAUCAGCAUAAUAGAAUGACUAAAGGACACUGAAGACUGGAGUAAUGGCUGCUGAAAAUUCAUCUUUUCCAUUACAGGAAUAAAUUGCCUGUUAAAAUGUAAUGAAAUAGAAUAAAGCUUUUUAAAACUAUAAUAAUGUUUCACAAUAUUUUUGUAUUUUUGACUUCUUUCAAAGUCAUUAAAAAAUCUUACCGACCCCCAAAAAUUUGAAUGUUAAAGUCUCAAGUAUAUCUAAAUGAAUGGAAAACGGGCAGAAUUUGUUUGUGGCAUUUAUUUGUUUUCCUAAAACUAAAUCAAUAAAUAGUAUUACUAUAUUGUAUAUUCCAAGACUGGAUCUGCUUAGUUGGCUGUGGGUGCAUGGAAUCUAUUCAUUUAAGCUCUAUUAUUGUCUGGACCUCUUUAAUGCGAAUCUUCGAUUGGUAAAAAGAAGUCCCCAGAUAGUAAUUUUGUCAUUUCAUUUUAGGGCCUCAAGGACCUGAUGGCGAAAAGGGCCAAAGAGGUGAGAGGCAUUUUCAGGUUUGAUGAUUCCAAGUCAAAUAAUGUUUUUUUAUUAUGUACCUAUAUCUGCAUCUUUAUUUUAAUCUGUGUCUGUAUUCUGUAUCAUUUUUGCUCAUAUCUAGGUGAGCCAGGCUCAAUUGGCUUACCAGGAAUCAGAGGACCACCUGGACCACCCGGUGAUCCCGGGCAACCAGGAAUUCAAGGGAUUCAAGGCCCUCCAGGCCUACCUGGCAAUCCUGGUCAGCCUGGAGCUAAAGGUGCUGUAUGGUGGCUGUUUUUGUAUAAUAGACCGUAGGAUCAAUGUUUAGCUGCUUUUUGAAGUCUUGCAUUUUAAGCAAUAUAUUUUGUCUUAUUAUUGGACAUUGGAAUCAUGUGUGUGCAACUAAGUCUACGAAUGUUUAAAUAAUUAAUCUGAAAAUGUUCACAGGUGAGACUGGUGAGCCUGGAAGAGUGAUCAAUGCAGGUAAGACUACAUGAAGUAUUAAAACACAUUUAACAGUCCACUGCGCAGUCAACUUACAUUGAGAGCUUUAAUUUUACAGCAGGUUCUAGCUCAGUGGCAAUCCCAGGACCACCUGGGAGCCCUGGUCCUCCUGGCCCACCUGGAUCUCCAGGACUCUCAGGUAUGUUCAUAAUCUUUAUCCUUUUAAAAACCCAGAUUACAAAAUCUCUUGUUAAUCAGU